GUUACAUUACAAAGUAACAUGUGCCGUAAUUACAAGCGAUUGCAAAAAUAGUGCAAUUGCGAUAAUUAUUACCUCAGAGGUAGGCUAACAAAAUCUUAAAGGUUACCAGAACCUAAGAUUAACAAAUCCUUAUCGACUUCGGAAUCCCCUGAACGGGGUUAAACAGAUGAUGCAUGCAGUCUUUCGAUGUUGGCCUUUUUCGCGGCUAUUAAACGCAGCACAAAUGCGCGGAAUAACUUUUUUUUCUCGUUGUGCUAUAAUAUCAUAUUGUUUGCUUGUGUGUGGCCAGCAAGACACCGGAGUGAGGCAUGCAGUCUAACGCGGAAAACCACUACUGCAGCUGCAGUCAUCAGCGACGCAGAUCUUAGCCUGGAUGAUAUCAUCCAGCAGUCUGUGGGUACCCGCGAAGAUGACAGAAUCAUACUGAAAUUUCCUGAAAAAUAUCAGAGAUCUGCCAGCAAGAGUUCUGCAACGGAAGAGCAUGUUUAUCGACCAAGAAUUGGCUCAAAUCUAAUUCUAACUUGCGAAGCGUCCACAGGCAGUGCAAAGGACAUCUCUUGGACCCAUCAAAGCAUAUCCAUAUUCGAUAAAGGCCGACGCCUCGUGGAUGACGGAACCAAUAAUCAGUUUUAUAACGCCACCCACUGGGGCCGAGUGGCGAUUUUAGGUAUUCUAAACAUAUCUCUACCAUCAGGCGGCGAAGUCAUCUGUGUGCCACGUUUCCGCUUGUGAGGAUUUUUUCUGGCUUGCUCAUGUGCCGCAGGUGGUGGUAUUUGUUACUCAUAAAAUGUUAUCAGUGUACUUAAUGCUGCAAUUAACACCGCAAGAAAUACGCCGUAGGUGCUUAAUGCUUAUACCUUUAAGGGGUCACACUAUAAGCAGUUACAAAGCCAGAUAAUCUUACAUCACGUGGUGACCUUUUACGGAUCACAUUAUAACCAUUAAGGCCCGGAUAACCGUUGAUUAGCCAUGAGCGUUUAGGCCUU